rnacentral:rRNA from 1 species
GGGUUGUGAGGUUAAGCGACUAAGCGUACACGGUGGAUGCCCUGGCAGUCAGAGGCGAUGAAGGACGUGCUAAUCUGCGAUAAGCGUCGGUAAGGUGAUAUGAACCGUUAUAACCGGCGAUUUCCGAAUGGGGAAACCCAGUGUGAUUCGUCACACUAUCAUUAACUGAAUCCAUAGGUUAAUGAGGCGAACCGGGGGAACUGAAACAUCUAAGUACCCCGAGGAAAAGAAAUCAACCGAGAUUCCCCCAGUAGCGGCGAGCGAACGGGGAGCAGCCCAGAGCCUGAAUCAGUGUGUGUGUUAGUGGAAGCGUCUGGAAAGGCGUGCGAUACAGGGUGACAGCCCCGUACACAAAAAUGCACAUACUGUGAGCUCGAUGAGUAGGGCGGGACACGUGGUAUCCUGUCUGAAUAUGGGGGGACCAUCCUCCAAGGCUAAAUACUCCUGACUGACCGAUAGUGAACCAGUACCGUGAGGGAAAGGCGAAAAGAACCCCGGCGAGGGGAGUGAAAAAGAACCUGAAACCG